CACAGCGUGGACUUCCGUGUGUUUGGUGAGGCCACUCGCGAGCACUGUCGCCAGUCGCUGCACACCCGCUCCUCUCUCAUUCGAUACCCACUGCUUCAACGGCUGGAUCGCUCCACGAACAUUUUUUUUUGCGUUACACAUCGAGGCAGGCCCAUCGGACCGCUUAUUCGUGUGGUUGUGCUCCCUCUUCUCCCGUGGCUGUUAUGUCGUUCUCAAAGAGACCAGAUGAUGUGAUGGACGGCACUGGCGACCGAGAAGUGGCCACCAUUCUCCGCUCUCUGGCACCGGAGGAGGUAGACAUGCUACGCGACACGUUCAUCUACAUGGACCGCGACAGCGACGGCUUCGUCAGCCGCGAGGAGAUGAUGGCGAAGGUGGCCUCUUGUGUUGGCGCAGAGAGGUUUCCGCCGCUGCAGGAGUACCUUGUACCGCUGUUUCAGGUAGCUGACAAGGACCGCGAUGAGCGGCUUAGCCUGACGGAGUUUCUCAUGGCGUUCGCAGACGGCCCUGGUGUGGUGCCGGCGGAGGUGGUAAACAGCUGCGUCGCGGAUGUGCAGGUGCGACUAACGGAUGAGGAGGUAUCGGCACUGCAGACCAACUUCAAUCGUAUCGACACGAACCAGGAUGGCGUUAUCGAUUCGGAGGAGCUCGAGGUGGCGCUGCGGACGUACCUUGUCCCCACGUUUCCGGAUCUGACGGAUGAGAAUUUCAAGGAGAUCGUCUCCGUUGUGAUGGCCAGCGCCGACGCGGAUCAGAACGGUGUCAUCUCCUUGUCGGAGUUUAUUCGUAGCUACCAGGAGGACCAAGGCGUGCUGCCAGCCACCUAUCUAGAGCCCACGCAGAAAAGCCUGGCCGGUGCGCGUCAGCUCACCGACGACGAGGAGACGGUGCUGCGGGAGGCGUUCGCCGUGCUGGACCGCAACAACGACGGCUUCGUCGACCUCGAGGACCUCUAUCACGCCCUCUCGGACGCCCUCGGCAGCGCCACCGAGGACGAGAGCCAAAUACGCGACUUGUGCAAUUUGGUCAUGAGGAGCUCCGACCGCAGCAAGAGCGGCCAGCUCACCGUCACGGAUUUUGUCCGCAGCUUCUUGCGGAACAUACAACUCAUGCAGAUCCCUGUGGCGGUCGCCCACGAGCGGGUGCGAGUGGCCUGUGAAAAGCUGCAGCAAAUGCAGGACUCAGGGGAGCUCGAGAGGCUCGUAAAGGUGUUCGAAGAUCUGGACAGCGACGGCGACGGGUUCGUGGUGCGUUCGGAGCUGGUGAAGGUGCUCAAGGUGCUGUUCCACGACGCCUUUCCUGGCUGGGACGAGGAGAUGCUGACCUCGAUCAUGACGGCCAUCGUCGUCGGGGCGGAGAGAAACAACGGCGGUCGGCUGUCCCUGGAGGAGUUCAUCCGCAGCUUUGUCGAAGGCUCCGGCGUGCUGCCUCCCGAGGCAGUCAAGAAGUGGGACUCCGCCCCCAGGCGUGGCUCGUACUCUACUGAAGACGCUCUGAAGCAGUCGUGCUAUAGAUCCAGCACCGCCACCGACGCAGAUCUCGGUCUCAUCGGCGAAGCCUUAAGCCGGCUGUAUGCGGAGAAGGGGGCGGAUGGUGUCAUCACAGAGGACGAACUGCACUCCGGCAUCGCUGAACUCUACGUUGACGACCCCAACCGCGGAGAAGAGAUGUUCCACUUUGCGCUCCAGCAAUUUGUGUUGCCCCGCAAAAAUGGGGGGUUGAUGUGGAGCGCCAACGUCCUUUUCGAAGACGAGGUGGAAGCGGAUGACAGGGGCGUGAGGGCAAGCAGGCUCAACCCGAGCGACUCGGCGGUGAUGCGCUCAUCGACGAGCCCCAGUCGCCGGCCACGCGCUUCAGUGCUCAUCUCCGCUAACGAAGUGGUAGAGCCGACAUCGAGCGCGCCAUCGCGGACGGCGUGGAUGUCGUCUACGCAAUCGCCAAGACAUCAGAUCUUGCCACACGCAGCCGAUGCCAUGGUGCAUGCAGCCGUUCCUCGGAGUCAGAGCAGUAGCGACAAAGCUUUAUCGUGCACCCACACCCAGCCGAAGCUGAUAGACGAGGCGGCGACGACGCCGGCCGCUUCUGUCAUGCACAGCUGGGGAGAGAAGAGGCCCUUGAGCGUCAAUGAACUGUGCAGUUUUCGCCCGGAUAGCACCAUUCUCACUGAAAAGCUGAAGCAGCAGUUCGAGUACUACGACGUAGAGCAUAGGGGCUACCUGGAUCGGGAUACUUUCAAGAAGAUCUACGCGACUAUGGAGAACUACGGGCUCGACCCGUCGCCGAUGGAAGUGGACAGGCGCUUCCGUCGCUACUCGCGAAUGUCGGACAAGAUCUUCUUCAACGAGUUCUGCAUCCUCAUGCUUCAGCGGGCCCGUCUGUGAGCGACGAUCGACAUCGCUACUCUCUCUCGCAAAGUGCCGGCUACUCUCGCUUCUUUACUCCCCCUUUUUCUCUUCUGAUCUGUUGGCGCUCGCGCAGCGGUAAGCGAAAAGGCAAAGAGAGGGCGACCUGGCGGUGGACGUUGCGUGCUGAUGUACGCCUGCGCGCCUGUGUGCCGGUGCAGCUAUAUACGUGUUGCGCACCUGUGCGCGUGCGGGCGUGGUGCCGGAUUGCGUUUUUCUUUGCUUGUUGCUCUGUGCUCUUCCUCUGGGUGUCUCCCGUCAUCGAUGUAAGGCGGCGUAUCUUCUGCUGCUAUUUUGUGUGUGCACGUGCGCCCCCCCUCCUCCCCCUCCCCUCUCUGUCUCUCUCUAUCCACCUAUAAAACUGUGGCAUGCUUUUCCUUCUCUCCUGUUUCGUAUAUAUGGUACGGCUCCCCCUCCCUCUUCCUCACGUUUGGCAUGCUCUUCUAUGUACAGUACACCUUCACCUCGCCUCACCUCUUUCUGUGUUUUUUGUUUUCUUUGUCACCUACGCCGACUCGUUUCUUCAUAUUACUUCGUGGUUCCUUACGCCUUUCUCCGUACAGCGGCCUCAUCUCGGCUCCGCACUGAUUUCUCGUUUCUCCGCUUUUGUCGAGGGGCUUCGUGUGGCCACACACCUCUUCCCUCCUUCUCUCCCUCUUUUACAUUGACGUCGUUUCCAUCGUGUGAUGUUCGAUUGUGUUUGGUGUUUGCCUGUCUGUGUGCGCGUGCGUUCUCGACUCCGCUGUCGUUAUUGAUUGCGACAUCAUCUCGGUCUUGGAACAACCGUUUUUUUCUUACUUUGCUUUUCAUCUUGGGGGGGGGGGGAUCCUUGUAGAGAAGGGGGACGCGCUCACCUUUGUCAUCGCCUGAACACCCCAUCAAAUCUCUGGUGCCGCUCUCCCUCGCAGUUUCCAUGCGUGAGCGUAGAUGCCUAUAUUUGUCUACCUGUUCGCGUGUGUGCGAUGGUAUGUGAACUCUACUCCUCUCCUGCUGCUCUCUCUCUUUCUCCUUUCAUUUUUUGCUUGUGUAGGGCAUUGCCCUUCCUUGUGUCGCUCCUCUCUCCAAGUCGUUUACCCCUUCGCUUUUUUUUUCGCCUUCCUCGUCUCUCUCUCUCUCCCCCUCUCUGUUUGUUCAACGCUCCGCCAAAAGACGAGGGCAGACAGCACUCAGAAUGCAUAAUCUGGAGAGUUCGACUCGGCAGCGCCUGUGAGGGGAACUCCGAGCAGUUGCGACCAAACGUUUUUUUUUUGUCUUGGGCAGACAACAGGAAGGAAAAAGAAAGAGCAUUUGAAUAACGAGCCAGCAACU
rnacentral:misc_RNA from 1 species